CAUGCAUAGAUCUAUAUGGUUACACUAACCACAGCGAAAGCAGACUUUAAAAUUUUAAUCUGAUCUAAACAUGUAGAUUCUCAAUCUUAAUCAACUCUAGGAUCAUCUAACAUGCAUAAAUAAAUUAAUUACAUAGAUCUAAAAUCAUAAACGAUAAAGAAAUAAGUUAUACCUAAUCGCUUUUUCCUAUUCUUCCUCAGAUUGUAUCCUACGGAUGUCCAGGGUUCCUAUCGUAGCCACGCAUAUGUCUGACCUCUGCUGGUAUCCACACAGAGAUGUCUCAAUCAAAACUUUGAAAUUUUUGGGGUACUAGCUCCCUUGCA
rnacentral:lncRNA from 1 species